UACAGAGGUGGCAAGCGUUGUUCGGAAUUACUGGGCGUAAAGGGCGCGUAGGCGGCCUUCUAAGUCAGACGUGAAAUCCCCAGGCUUAACUUGGGAACUGCGUCUGAUACUGGGAGGCUUGAGUGCGGGAGAGGUGAGUGGAACUGCGAGUGUAGAGGUGAAAUUCGUAGAUAUUCGCAAGAACACCAGUGGCGAAGGCGGCUCACUGGCCCGAUACUGACGCUGAGGCACGGAAGCGUGGGGAGCAAACAGG
rnacentral:rRNA from 1 species